AUUUGUUUGCACAGCAAUUGCACCACCUUCUGCCCAGACUAAUGAUACUCUUCAGUAUGAAAUUUGGUUAAAUCUCUUGCAAGAAAACAAUAUAUUAAAAUGUUCCUGGGAUCAUUGAAGCGCAUAUAUCAAGACCAGACUGCAGUGCCAUUUCACAGAAAAGAUGAUUCACCGGAGCCUGAGGAUCAAAAACCGGAAGAAUACAAGAAUGAUCUUUUAAACAGUUAUUUUGAAACACCAAUUAACUGAUAAUUAUAAAGAAUGCAUGAGCUGAUAUUCAGACCAGAAAAAUACUUAUGUUUAGUGGAAAUAUAUUAGGUUCAUGAUAGAUGGAAUUCAGUGUUUUUGUUGCAUUGCCUGGCGACAAAAAAUGGUUUGUAAAGUAUGGAAGGAUGUAUUUUAAAGCUAAUGAGCUUCCAGAAGAAGAUCCAGACCCCAGCAACUCUGAAUGGGACAAGCGGGUAUAUAAAAUAGAUGGAUGGAUAUUCUAUUUGUUUUUAACGUUGCAAGAACCACACAUAAUGGCUGGAACGUUUUGAAUCUGUGGUAGAAUCAUCAGUGACUACAAUAAACUGCCCGGCAGCCAUGUG